rnacentral:lncRNA from 1 species
UCCAGAAUUUCUAAGAGGAAGAAAUGUAAGGAGAGGAGAACAAAGAAAAGUCAAAGGAAAAUGAUUUCAAGAAGCAUAAUAUGAACAUCAAAGAAGUGAUUGCAACACGACUAAAGAAUAAGUUGUACCAUGGACAUGGUUCAAAUUUUAGUGGCUUUGCUUUUGAAAAUGUGGCACUGGAUUCUGUCAGCUGUUGUGGUACCUGGGAGAUACUUGCAGAUGUCCCACAACCUGUGGUGAGACAGAAAAUGGCCUUUUGUGACAUCUUUCCUGGAAAAAGUCUUCACUUACGAAUGGUAAAUACAACAAACUUCUACAUGGAAGAAUUUAUUGAACUCAUCUAAUGUCUUCAAGACAGUAGUAUAUAAAUGGAAAGACAAGGAGGAAAAAACACAUCAAAAAAUAGUGCUCUGAUACAAAUCAAAUUGCAGUCAACUAAGAAAAAAUCUUUUUUCCUACUUGUUUCUGAAUCUCAGUCUUCCAUAUUGUGCUGUCUGUCAUUUUCUACAAUAAGACAAGUAUGUUAACAGAAAUGCUGUUUAUGUAUUCAAUUUUUCAAGUUGUACAUUAAACUCAUGACCACCUCAUGGUAAGUGAAAAUAAAGCACCUUUCAAUGCAAUGGCA